rnacentral:rRNA from 1 species
AGGACGAACGCUGGCGGCGUGCUUAACACAUGCAAGUCGAGCGGAAAGGCCCUUCGGGGUACUCGAGCGGCGAACGGGUGAGUAACACGUGAGUAAUCUGCCCCUAGCUCUGGGAUAGCUCCGGGAAACCGGGAUUAAUACCAGAUACGACCACUUUAGACAUCUCUUGUGGUGGAAAGAAUUUCGGCUGAGGAUGGGCCCGCGGCCUAUCAGCUUGUUGGUGGGGUAAUGGCCUACCAAGGCGACGACGGGUA